UGGCACAAUGGUUGAGUGCUUGGCUACUAACCAAAAGGUUGGUGGUUCAAAGCCACC
rnacentral:tRNA from 1 species